GUAGGUGAACCUGCGGAAGGAUCAUUAACACGUAUCCACGUAUCAAAACCCCUCUGUGCACCCCUCUUCGUGAAGGUUUGAUUGGAGUUGCAUUCACUCGAUCUUAAUGAUGGGAGUCCUUUUUUUUUCUUCCGAGAGAGAAAGGCUCGGGAUCUAUGAGUGGGUGCCGCGUUUGACAAUCGGGCCGCUAUUUUUCCAUCGUUAGGCUUUUAUUAAAAUUUUUAACCCCUUUGUACUUUUUAUGUACUGA
rnacentral:misc_RNA from 1 species